GUAGGGAAUCUUGCGCAAUGGGCGAAAGCCUGACGCAGCCAUGCCGCGUGAAUGAUGAAGGUCUUAGGAUUGUAAAAUUCUUUCACCGGGGACGAUAAUGACGGUACCCGGAGAAGAAGCCCCGGCUAACUUCGUGCCAGCAGCCGCGGUAAUACGAAGGGGGCUAGCGUUGCUCGGAAUUACUGGGCGUAAAGGGAGCGUAGGCGGAUAGUUUAGUCAGAGGUGAAAGCCCAGGGCUCAACCUUGGAAUUGCCUUUGAUACUGGCUAUCUUGAGUAUGGAAGAGGUAUGUGGCACUCCGAGUGUAGAGGUGAAAUUCGUAGAUAUUCGGAAGAACACCAGUGGCGAAGGCGACAUACUGGUCCAUUACUGACGCUGAGGCUCGAAAGCGUGGGGAGCAAACAGGAUUAGAAACCCGGGUAGUCC
rnacentral:rRNA from 1 species